GGGAGAAGUGAUGAUUUUCUAUCCAUAGACUGUUUCUGCAUUUUGUAUGAUGAAUCAUUUAAAACAUGCACUACCAUCUGAUCUCCC
rnacentral:snoRNA from 1 species